AAAGUGGUGGAGUUUAAGGGAGGCGUGGAAGGAGCAUGCAAAAGAGGAAGCGGGGGAGGAGGGGGAGUGGAUGGAUGGAUGAAGGUUGGCUGGAGCUGUCAGUCUCAUCUCUCUCCUGUCUCUCCUCAUCCAUUCUCACCAUGCUGACAGCAGUCUUCCAAGCAGAACACCGCCUGCCUGCAAGCGACUGCAUUCUGAGCAAAAGGAUGGAUUAUUCACCUGUGCCACUUCCUUCCUUCCAUGAAUCCAGUCCCACAUGCACAGAAAGCAUCCCAGGAUCAACAGCUCUCACUACCUGCCUAUUUGCCUGCCCCCUUGGAACCCGCCAGCCUUUCACCCUUUCACCAACCGCCUCUCCCACUUUCCCAAUAUCCCAGAAUGCCGCAUGCUGAUUUCCCGUAUGCCCUGGCACUCUCUCCCAUGGCAGCUGGUGUCCAUUCUCCUUGUCCUUCCAUUCCACAUACCAUGGCAACGAUUGCUCUAUCUCAUCCCAUCCAGUGUCAAAGACUAGCUCCUUCCACCCCCUGGUUUGACUCUCCUGUUACCUGUGACCUUACUGUUGUUCUCACCAGGGGCUGGACUGGACUGUUUCCCCCUCAGCGCACACACAUUUGCACAUGGUUCUGCACUGUCCACUGUACCCUUGACUGUACAAGGUGGGAGUGAUUUAUGUAUUUACAGGGACAGUGAACAAUGAAAAACACUUAUUAGGUGUCAUGUUCUUCAUCGUUCAUGAUCAAGGUUAAAGGAGGAUUUUAAACAUGUUCUGCAGCAUAGGCGUUGGUGUGUGUGUGUCUGUGCCGGUCCCCAAAGGCCCAGUGGCUUCCCCUGAAUAACUGUGUAAUCGAUCAUAAAAACUGCUGAUUAGCUCAGUGUGGACAAGAGACAGGAAGGCAGUCGUGUACAAGGGACAUUGACUGAGUUAAUGAUGGUUUAUGUGAUGGCCAGUGCACAGGCUAUUUUAUGAUCAAUGUAUGAACUCAGUCACACUGGGCUAGUUUAUUGGAUAAAAUUCUAAUUUGUAUUGGGUUAAAAUAAAUUAAACUUUUGUUGA